rnacentral:rRNA from 1 species
CCAAGGAGUCUAACAUGUAUGCGAGCCAUUGGGUUGACUAAACCUAGAGGCGCAGUGAAAGCAAAGAGUAGCUUGUCUGCUCGAGGGACGAUCCGCAAGGCGCAGUCCCGCGACUUCCAAUCGACCUUGCAUCGUUGGGAGUACGUAGAGCAUAAAUGUUGGGACCCGAAAGAUGGUGAACUAUGCCUGGCCAGGUUGAAGUCAGGGGAAACCCUGAUGGAGGACCGUAGCGAUUCUGACGUGCAAAUCGAUCGUCGGAGCUGGGUAUAGGGGCGAAAGACUAAUCGAACCAUC